rnacentral:tRNA from 1 species
GCCGGGGUGCCCGAGCGGACCAAGGGGCCAGCCUGGAGAGCUGGUGUGGGCAACCACACACGGGUUCAAAUCCCGUCCCCGGCG